ensembl:lincRNA
GUUUUUGUUUUGUUUUUUUGUGGGAUUUGAAUUUCAAACCCAUAAUUAAACUUCCUCAGGGUUUCUCCUUAGAGGACACUUUGGCAUCAAGCCAACAGGCAACCUAGAAGAGAGGAGGAGGAGGAAGAGGAUGGAGGACGAAAAGAGUAGGAAGGUGGCGGCAAAAUGACAUAGGAUCGUUCAUCUGGCUCCUGGUGACAUUGUCAACACAGGAAGGAAUCUUAGUUGCGGAGCAGCUGUCUGUACACACUGAGACAAGAAAUUCCUGCAUUACCACAAGGAUGUUUAUGAAGGCUGCUUGUCAGACUGAACCACGCUAAUGGAAUACAAGGUUGAUGCUGAAUAUUCCACGAAAGCUGCUACCUCUGCUUACUCAGACCUUUCCAACUUUUUGUCAUAUACGUUGCUUUUGCUUGGAGAAAGAGAUAGGAACAGAGAAAAAAAAACUCCUCUUCACCAUUUGCGGACCAAAGGUAGAGAGAACAAAUCCACACCAGCAAACCAAGCCCAGUUUGGGAACCAGCGCUAUGCGUGGGUCACUGCCAGACUGGAACAGACAGACCUCAGCCCCUUCUAGCAAACAGGCUGACAAACAAGAAUUACUCCCCCCAUCCCACUCAUAAAUCCUGGAAAUGACUUCGUAGUGACAGAGGAAUCAACCUGUGAGUCAGUGGACGUGUGCCAAGGAGAGUGAGUGAGUCAUCAUCACCAUGGAUCCUUUGUGGAGGAAGGAAAAUUUCACGAUCAUUUACAUGUAACAUUCCCUGUGUAUUAGUUUAUGAACUUUUUUUCUGGCAAAAAUAGCUAAAAAUGGAAGCAAAAGAAUGAGACAAUCAUAAUGGGUGAGAUGUGAGGAUAGAAAACAGAAGAUCUAUCCAGGUAGAUACUGCUCAGAGUGGCUGUGAGAAGGGAUACAAGGCCAGCGUGCUCAGUGUUGGUUCCUGAGUACUGGGCAAGGAAGGAGAUAAAGGGCAAGAUCAUAAAAGAGAAUACAAUUUGCUUUUUUGUAGCAUUGGAUUAAGCAAAUAUUGUUUCUCUUACUAACACCCUUCUCUUCAGCUCACAACCCCCAUCUCCAUCUCCACCUAGCUGCAGUUUGGCUGUCUUUUCCUUCAGUGUUUUGAAGUCUCCAUAGCAUCCACCACAAAAUAUUUUCUCUAGCAAAGGUGUUCAGAAACACAGAACUUAGACAGUCUUAGGCUUUGAAAGAGAAAUACUGAACUAGGUAGUCAUUGUUGUGUUACCAAAUGUCAGUGGAUUUCAAAGAGAAAAGCAGAUGUCUCAGGUAUGGAAGCAGUGGCACUUUCAGAAAAAGCAUCAGCAGGAAUCUUCAGCUCUUUCAUGCUGAACUUUCUCCCUUCCCCAAAUAUCCUUCAUCACUCGUAUUUUGAAUACCAUGAAAUUGAAAUCAUUUAUUCCAAUUAAAGCAAAUGAUCAGAGUAUCUGACAAAGAAGGGACUGACUGCAGGCAGGGAUAUCUAUUUCUAUUUAUGGGAUUCUGAAUUUUGUAGAAUGACUGAAGGUAUGUUCAUGCCUGUGGUCAGUGGCUCAACUCUUUCAUUUCGAGUGAAGGUCAUUGUUAAUGAACUCUGCCCUACCUUUCUCAGAGCAGGAUACUGCUUUUCAUCUCAUUACUUCUGAUUUUAUAAGGUAUGCUUUUUAUUUGUUGAACUCCUGUGUAGCCUGCAUAUGUGUGUAUGUGUUUCAUUUUUACAUUUAUUAUAGAAAUGUUUCUAUUAUCUACCAAACCAUAAUUUUCUCAACAAUACUAUAAUGAAAAUAUUGCCCAUUUGAAUUUGUGUUAUUUUCUAUUGCUAUUGAAAUAAAUUAUCACUAAUAUAAUGAUAAAACAAGUGUCAUCUUAUGGUUGUGGAGGUCAGAUGUCUGAAUUAAAAUCUUGAAUGUGAGCGGGAUUACAUGGUUUGUGAGAGAUGUUCGACCAUUUCUUUGCCUUUUCCAGCUUCUGGAAGCCAAAUGUAUUCCUUAGCAUGUGGCCUUUUUUUUUUUUUUUCAUUUUCAAGUCAGCAGUACAG